rnacentral:misc_RNA from 1 species
UCUCCGUUGGUGAACCAGCGGAGGGAUCAUUACAGAGUUCCACAACUCCCCACCCCUUCUAACCGUACCCCUGUUUGUUCUCGUUUCCUCCUGGCGGCUGGCCCCCGGCGCUACCGCCGGGGCUGCCGCCGGCGUCGGGGAUCCCCCUGAACCUUUUUGUCUCAUCGAGCCGGUCUUAACUAACCAACAAAUGAAUCAAAACUUUCAUCAACGGAUCUCUAUGUUCUGGCAUCUAUGAAGAAGGCAGCAAAUCGGAAGAACACACAACUAAGCUCCAGU